rnacentral:snRNA from 1 species
AAUCUGGGCCCUCUUGGGGGAUUCCUCCCUAGACUAUACAGGAUUUUACGAGUUCUUUUGCUUCUUUGGU